rnacentral:lncRNA from 1 species
AAUGCCUUGAAGGCACACAUACUUCUCAUUCCAGAUCUGGUAGUGAUCCCAAAGGUGAGCUCAGUGAGAACAUUCUCUAUGGGAUGUGAUCCUUGAUACUUGUAUCCCUUUGGAAUCAAGCCUAGUGAGCUACUAGGAUCACUGAUGACAUUCUAAUCUAGGGUAGUUGGUGGCUGAUUUCCCCUAUCACUGUGCCUUCAUCUUCAGUUCCCCCUGUUGAGGUGCCUCC